AGUGGGGAAUAUUGCACAAUGGGCGAAAGCCUGAUGCAGCGACGCCACGUGAGGGAUGACGGCCUUCGGGUUGUAAACCUCUUUCAGCAGGGAAGAAGCGCAAGUGACGGUACCUGCAGAAGAAGCGCCGGCUAACUACGUGCCAGCAGCCGCGGUAAUACGUAGGGCGCAAGCGUUGUCCGGAAUUAUUGGGCGUAAAGAGCUCGUAGGCGGUCUGUCGCGUCUGGUGUGAAAUCCCAUGGCUCAACUGUGGGCUUGCAUCGGGUACGGGCAGACUAGAGUGCUGUAGGGGAGACUGGAAUUCCUGGUGUAGCGGUGGAAUGCGCAGAUAUCAGGAGGAACACCGAUGGCGAAGGCAGGUCUCUGGGCAGUUACUGACGCUGAGGAGCGAAAGCAUGGGGAGCGAA
rnacentral:rRNA from 1 species